AAUUCUCAAACCCAUAAGUCUUUGCGGGCUUACGGGCUUUGGACUUGGAGGCUUGUCGGCGUACUGCAAAGUCAUCGACUCCUCUCAAAUGCAUUAGCUUGAUUCCUUGCGGAUCGGCUAUCGGUGUGAUAAUUGUCUACGCCGUUGGUCGUGAAGCGUUUAUGGCGAGCUUCUAAUCGUCUCUUAACGAGACAGCUUACAUUGAC
rnacentral:misc_RNA from 1 species